rnacentral:rRNA from 1 species
UACGUAGGGUGCGAGCGUUGUCCGGAAUUAUUGGGCGUAAAGGGCUCGUAGGCGGUUUGUUGCGUCGGGAGUGAAAACUCAGGGCUUAACCCUGAGCCUGCUUCCGAUACGGGCAGACUAGAGGUAUGCAGGGGAGAACGGAAUUCCUGGUGUAGCGGUGAAAUGCGCAGAUAUCAGGAGGAACACCGGUGGCGAAGGCGGGUCUCUGGGCCGAUACUGACGCUGAGGAGCGAAAGCGUGGGGAGCGAACAGG